rnacentral:rRNA from 1 species
GAUGAACGCUGGCGGCGUGCCUAAUACAUGCAAGUCGAGCGAACAGAUGAGGAGCUUGCUCCUCUGACGUUAGCGGCGGACGGGUGAGUAACACGUGGAUAACCUACCUAUAAGACUGGGAUAACUUCGGGAAACCGGAGCUAAUACCGGAUAAUAUAUUGAACCGCAUGGUUCAAUAGUGAAAGACGGUUUUGCUGUCACUUAUAGAUGGAUCCGCGCCGCAUUAGCUAGUUGGUAAGGUAACGGCUUACCAAGGCAACGAUGCGUAGCCGACCUGAGAGGGUGAUCGGCCACACUGGACCUGAGACACGGUCCAGACUCCUACGGGAGGCAGCAGUAGGGAAUCUUCCGCAAUGGGCGAAAGCCUGCCGGAGCAACGCCGCGUGAGUGAUGAAGGUCUUCGGAUCGUAAAACUCUGUUAUUAGGGAAGAACAAAUGUGUAAGUAACUAUGCACGUCUUGACGGUACCUAAUCAGAAAGCCACGGCUAACUACGUG